UAAUAUGUAUAAAAUACGUAUAAUUUGUAUAUAAUAUGUAUAUAAUAUGUGUGUAAUAUGAAAUGUAUAUUACACAGGAUGUUUGACGCAAGCUGUUCGCCACAUAUUUCUAGUUUAAUUACAUCAGCAUAAAUAAUAAUAGAACACAUGAGAAAAGUAGAAUAAUAGAAGAGAAUUAUAUAAAAAAAUACUUGUUGUGCGAGAAAAUAACGUAUAAAAAACUGUGCAGUAUUUGGUAGCCUGUAAUUUGAUUAGAAAUAGUUCGUGAUUAGCAAGACGUCACACGCUUGAGAAUAGUUUAGCGAUAUUAUCGUAGAGAGAGGGGCAGACUUUAAUGUACGAAGGCAUUAAAGUCCGAAAGUAGUAGUAGUCCGAAGUGAAGAAAACAUGUGAUCGUGAUAUGUAAUCUACUGAAGUUUGUUUGAAAUGUACAUGAAAACAUUUUUUUUAAUUGACAAAUUUAUCUUGUUUUUACAUUUCACAUAUAUAUAAAGCUACGUCCGGUUUCGCGUCGCGAUGUAUUUGUGCUUUGGACGUUAGUUUGCCAGUGUCUUUAAUUGUCAAUUUUCCUUCCGUCUAAUAACGGUCGACCACACACCAAUGGUAUCUGUAUAUCCUGAAACGGAUGCUCGCUUGGGAAGGCUACGAUUGGGAAUCUUGGGUUAAAGGUACAAAGGCCUACAUGGACAUGCAAGUGUUCCGUAGAAAGCAUUUAAUAAUAAGCACAAAGCUUUCCCGGCUGGAUAACAAGCAAUACCAGGCGGCAUCGAAAUUCGAGCAACCGUGAUAUCCGGAGUGAGAAGAAGCGGACUUUAUAAGCGAUCGAUCCUCACCUUGAAGGAGUGAACUGAAAUGUUCACGAAACAUCGGAGAGAAGUCUUCGAAAAACGUGGCGCUAACUCGGAAGCCACGUCGAAUGUUAGAUCAUUCCGUGUCAUUAUGAAUAAAAAUAAGGCAAAUGUGCGAGAAAUAUCAGAAAAUAUUAAUUUUUAACGCGAGAACGCAUUAAAAUUUCGUAACAACCUACCGUGGAUGUCUGGUCGAUCGUCGUUAGACAGAAGA